UUUAUUUUUUAUUUUGAGAUAGGAUCUCCUUCGCUUACAAGAGGCUGGCCUUGAACUUGCAUAUCCUCUUGCCUCAGACUCCCAGGUCACGGGGAUUACAGGUGUAGCCACUGCACCCAGCUCCCACAUGUAUUUUUGCUUAAAGGACAUACAGCCAGGUGGCAGCUGGAGGCCUGGGGUUGGUUCCCAGGGUUCCACUUCCUGGGUGACCUCACUAGCCCUUCAGGCAGCCUUUCUCAGCUAUGUAGACUCAGAGGGAUAUGAGCGUGGUCAGUGGACCCACAUACCUACUAUGCCAACACAGGUGCACACAUCUGUUAGCACUGCCAUAAAUUAUCCCAAAUCUCUCUCACAGCUCUGAAAGCCGAGUCUGAAAUCAGGCUGUGGACAGAGCUGCACUCCUCUUGAGGCAACAGAGGAGGGGGUCCUUCCUGCCUCUUCCAGCUUCAGGUGGCUCCAGGGGGUCCUUCCUUAUAUGUCAGUACCCUCUCCCUUUUUUGCCUCCUAGGUUACCAGUGCUUCUCCUCUUAUAGGGACACCUGUCCUUGAAUUUGGGACCUAAAUCCAGAAUGAUUUUGAGAGGUCUUUACUCAUUACAUCUGCCAAGACCCUACCUCUAAAUAAGAGAAAGCCCUAGAGAGCCUGAGCAGACCUUCAGCUGAGGACACAAGCCCAGGAGCUGGGAUGGGACCCAGCAGCCUGACCUGAGGGACAAGGAAGAGCCUGGUAACGAUAGAUCUGCUCCGUCAGGACUCCCUCACCAGGGACAAGGCUGAGGGCCCAGGAGUCUUGAGAACCAACCACCGAAUACCCCUAUGAGCCCAUUUGCAGGAGAGGGAACCAAAGCCUGAGGAGGUUAAGUCCUUGGCCUGUGGUUGAAGAAGGGAGAGAAGCCAGCAUUCAGACCCUCAGGCUGCGGCCCAGAGCUGAUCGACCCCUCCAUCCCCUCCUGAGACAGAUGGACCUCCCUAGCAGACUGUGGGUGAGCCUCAGCAAUACCUGGAGAGCCUCUUGGCCAACUUCCACCAAGAGCAGCCAUAGCCUCGCGGCUGGGCUUCACGGACAGCAGCUUGUGGGAAUUCCAGGAGGCACUGCCAUAUCCUGCCAGCGCUCUGGGGAGUCAGACUUCCUGAAGGUCUCCCUCCCAGAACGCCAGAGAGACAGGCCUUGGACCCAGGGGAGCAACUGGGUGGCUUCUCACCUCCACCCUUCCUGGAAGGUGCAACGCUCUGGAAUUUCCCAAAGCGAGAUGCCCGUCAGGUGGGUCUUUAGAAUUUCUUUUUGCAUUGGUUAAUUCCUAAAAUAACUUGCCCACCUUCAGGUCACAUCUCAAUUUGUAAAACCCAAAUUCCAGCCAGGUGCAGUGAUGCCCACUAUGAUCCCAAGGACUCCAUUUCAGAGGCUGAGGUAGGAAGAUCACAAGUUCAAUGCCAGCCGGAACAACUUAGCAAGGCUGUGUCUUAAAAUAAAAAAGUAUAAAAAAAUGGCUAGAAAUGUAGGUCAAUGGUGGAACACUUCCCUGGUAUGCAUAGGACACAGGAUUCAACUCCCAGUACCAGGGAAAUUUUCAUUUUGUGAAUUUUUCAUGAAUUUUUUUCAUAUUUGGCUGGCUUUGAGCUCACGAUCCUCCUGCCUCAGCCUCCUGAGCCGCUGGGAUUACAGGAGUAAGCCACUGCACCCAGCUUAAAUUUCAUUUUUUUGACAUAGGUUCUUGCUUAGUCAAGGCUGGUCUGGGACUUGCAAUCCCCCUGCUUCAGCCUCCUGAGUCUCUGGCACAGGCGUGCGCCACCAUGCCCAGCAACAAAAUGAAUUUUUAAAUCCCAGCUGUUUGUUUUUUUUUUUUUUUCUGGAUUUUGUCCACGAGUUUGAGCUUCUAUUUCCAGGAUGGUAGACUCCUGAACUCGCCCUCCUUCGGGUAGUGCCACAAGCCAGGCAGCACGCAAACCAGCAUCAGCUGUGGUCACAGGGAGUGAGCACAGGCACAGACUCUAGAGAGGAGCCAGCACUAGGAAGCAGGGCAGGGCCGGUGAGCCACCCUUGUCUGAGGUCAAGACCCAGGCCAGACCAUGAAGGGCAGGUAAACUCCAGCAAAAAACCUGAAGUUGUCGUAGCCUGAGGAGCUGGAAGGCAGAGUGAGGCAGUGACACCUCUGGAAGGCAAGGGGCAUCCCAGAGAAGGGGAGAUCCACAUCAGAUGAUAACUCUUGCCUCGGUCUUAGUUGACCUCUGAACCACGGUCAGCCAGACCCCAAACAGCCUGGCCAAAGGACAGAGUGUGCUGGGCACAGUGGCGUAUUCCUAUAUCCCAACAAUUUGGGAGGCUGAGGCAGGAGGAUCACAAGUUUGAGGCCAGCCUGGGUCACCUAGUGAGGUCCUGUCCCAAAAAAUAAAUCAAGUGGGGAUGCAACCCAGUGGUAGAGUGCCCCUAGGUUCAACCUCCAGUACAAAAACACAAAGUGCCCCAAGGAUAGAGUGUGGUCUGAGUCCCAUCAAGUCAAUUGCCAACUAACACAAAAAAUCAGCACUAUUUUAAAAGAAUGCAGACUUACCACAGACUAUCAUAAUGUCAAGGACACAAUCCAAAAUCAACCAGUAUUAAAAGAAAAUAAUGUUAUUCAUUCUCAAAAAAAAGAAGGCUGGAGAUCGACCCUGACAGGACCCAGAUGAUGGAGUUAACAAGCCGGGAUGUCGAGGCAACCCCAUGACCGUGCCCACUGGUGUGCAGAACAUAGGCUUUCAACAGCGGAUAGACCGAGACAGUCAUGGCAGAUCACAGGAACCACAGGUCUGAACGGAGAUUCUGGAACUGAAAAUGAAAAUGUUUUCAAUGAAAGCUAACUGGACUAAGAGCAGAGCAGGGAUCACGCAAUGCACUUGACCGUGUCUCAGUAGAACUUAUCCAACCUAAAGGAGGUGCCUGUGGGGCCAUGUCACAUGCCUGUGUGUGACACAGUUUACAAAGAGAGGAGAAAUGGGGUGGGGAAAGGUAUCUGGAGGGAAAAAUGACUGGAACUUCCUACAUGUGGUGAGAAACAUGAACUUACAUAUGUAAGAAAUUCUGGGGCUGGGGACAGAGCUCAGCUGGUGGAGUGCUCGACUCACAUGCACAAGGCCCUGGGUUCAAUCCCCAGCACCACAAAA